rnacentral:sRNA from 1 species
UGAAAUAUAUUAUUAAUUUCCAAAAAUAAUAACCAAUCAAAAUCAACAUAUAAGAUUUGAUAUCUAAAUUUUAAUUAAUUUAAUUUAAUUAGAAAAACAAAAUACAUUAUUAAUUUCCAAAAAGUAACCAGUUAAAAUCAACAAAUUAUGUUUGAUAUCUAAAUUAUCAUAUUAAUUUUUUAUUAAUUAUUAUAGUUCACUUCUCAUCGUUAUAUGAUUCUAUUUUUGCGGAAAAAUAAUAUCAUCAUUAUAAAAAAAUAAUUAGAGUUUUUUUGCAUAUGCCAUAAUUUGAAUUUUUAAAAACAAAUAUAAACUGUUCAAUACAUGAAAAAAUAUUAUAAGGGUAAAAAAUAGAUUUAAGAAAACUUUUUACUGAGUAACGGGUCAUAAUUUGAAAUAUUUAUAUUCAAUUUCAUACAUAUUAUAUUGAAAAUUUAUAAUUUAUAUAUACUACAAUAAUUAAUAACAUGUUAGAUGUGAUUCAAUUUUUAAUACAAGCUGGAAAAUCCUAGAAUUGACGGGUUUAGAUCGAUAUUAAUACAAGAUAGUAUACUACAGGUGAAACUCUUAAAUUAACAAUCAAACUACAAGUAUAUAAUCUUAAACACUAAACAAUAUAGAUAAUAUCAACAAAACGUAUACAACUCACAGUUUACUAUACAUUUAAAAUCAAAUAAAAUAAUAUUAUAUAUUUUUUAAUCAUCUUUACAAUAAAAGUUUUUAGUUUAACUAAAAUAUAAGCCUACAUGCGGUAUACUGCAGGUUAAUAUCUAGAUUAUAGAGCUUAUUGGAUCUAAAGACGGGUCAUCAAAGAUUUCCUAAACUGAAGCAAAAUAUACUAAAUAUUCAAAUAUCUAUAUGUUACCAAAUUAUAAACAAAUAAGUCAAUUUAAUAUUUUAUAUACAAAAUCAAUUAAAUCUUAAUCACAUAAAAAUUAGCACAAAAAAAUGUAUUCAACAAUUAAAAAUUUAUCAAAUCUCUGUGUUAUAUAAGUUUUGAUACUAUAUUCAAAUAAAGUGUAAUAUACCUUUUCAAUUUGUAUUCUUUAACUAAUUUAAGCUAACUAAUAUAUUUGCUAAUCUUAUAUCUAUCAAAACCGACUAUCGUUUCUUAUCUCUAUAUUAUUUUUGCAAGAUUUUUUUGGUGGAUUUGGAUAAAAGUGCAUUCGGGUCAUAUGGUACAUUCCCCUAUUAAAUAAAUAUGGUGCACUCCUAUGUUAUUAGCUAAAAUAUUUAGAUUAUAAUUCAGAGUCAUAUCAUUAAUAAAAUUAAUAUUAAUAAAAUAAAUAGGUUUUUGGCAAGACGGAUUUGGAGGGACGGGUUUUUGAAUCAACAUUAAUAAAAAAGUAAAAUAUAAUUAAUCCACCGUUUCAAUACGGGUUAAAUCUUUAAUUUAUUAUUUUUUAAGACCACUAAUAUUAAACAUAUCAAAUCAUCCUAAUUUAGAAAAAAUUAU